rnacentral:rRNA from 1 species
GACUUGGCUGGGUGGUCCGCUUAACAGCGUGUACUGCUUGGCUGGGUCUUACUUCUUGGUGAGCCGGCAUGCCCUUUAUUGGUGUGUGUCGGGGAACCAGGACUUUUACCUUGAAAAAAUUAGAGUGUUUAAAGCAGGCUCACGCUUGAAUACAUUAGCAUGGAAUAACGAAAUAGGACG